rnacentral:rRNA from 1 species
AAACCAACAGGGAUUGCCUCAGUAACGGCGAGUGAAGCGGCAAAAGCUCAAAUUUGAAAUUGAGGCUCUCAGCCCCCGAGUUGUAAUUUGAAGAUGGUGUUCUGGUGCCGGCGCCCUGUUACGUUCCUUGGAACAGGACAUCGCAGAGGGUGAGAAUCCCGUGUGGCGGGGCGGCCUGGCUCCGUGUAGAGCGCCAUCGACGAGUCGAGUUGUUUGGGAAUGCAGCUUAAGUGGGUGGUAAAUUCCAUUAAAGCUAAAUAUUGGCGAGAGACCGAUAGCGAACAAGUACAGUGAUGGAAAGAUGAAAAGAACUUUGAAAAGAGAGUGAAAAAGUACGUGAAAUUGUUGAAAGGGAAGGGUAUUGGAUCAGACUUGGUGCUGUGCGAAUAGCGGCUCUUCCUGGGCCGCCCCACUCGCACUCCACCGGGCCAGCAUCGGUUUGGGCGGCAAGACAAUGGCGGGGGAACGUGGCACUGCUCUCGGGCAGUGUGUUUAUAGCCCCCGCUGAUGUUGCCUGCCUAGACCGAGGACUGCGGCUCUGCCUAGGAUGCUGGCGUAAUGAUCCAACACCGC